rnacentral:rRNA from 1 species
GACAGAGGUGCCGAGCGUUAGGCGGAAUCACUGGGCUUAAAGCGUGUGUAGGCGGACUUCUAAGUACCUUGUGAAAUCCCACGGCUCAACCGUGGAACUGCUUGGUAUACUGGUCGUCUUGAGCCAUCUAGGGGCUGUCGGAACAAAUGGUGGAGCGGUGAAAUGCGUAGAUAUCGUUUGGAACGCCAAUGGUGAAAACAGCUAGCUGGGGAUGUGCCGACGCUGAGACACGAAAGCCAGGGGAGCGAACGGG